AUUGAACGCUGGCGGCAGGCCUAACACAUGCAAGUCGAACGGUAACAGGAAGACGCUUGCUUCUUUGCUGACGAGUGGCGGACGGGUGAGUCAUGUCUGGGAAACUGCCUGAUGGAGGGGGAUAACUACUGGAAACGGUAGCUAAUACCGCAUAACGUCGCAAGACCAAAGAGGGGGACCUUCGGGCCUCUUGCCAUCGGAUGUGCCCCGAUGGGAUUAGCUAGUAGGUGGGGUAACGGCUCACCUAGGCGACGAUCCCUAGCUGGUCUGAGAGGAUGACCAGCCACACUGGAACUGAGACACGGUCCAGACUCCUACGGGAGGCAGCAGUGGGGAAUAUUGCACAAUGGGCGCAAGCCUGAUGCAGCCAUGCCGCGUGUAUGAAGAAGGCCUUCGGGUUGUAAAGUACUUUCAGCGGGGAGGAAGGGAGUAAAGUUAAUACCUUUGCUCAUUGACGUUACCCGCAGAAGAAGCACCGGCUAACUCCGUG
rnacentral:rRNA from 1 species